AUUAACCCCUGUCUCCUAAGAGCACGGGCCAGACCCUCGCAGCUUCUCAUCUCCAGUUCAAGGCCAACAUUUCCACCUCCCGCCUCUGUGCCCAGGGAUGUCUGGUCAGAUGCCCUUUGGGGAAACCCACAAACCCCGGGAUUCGUCUCCUUGUUUUACUCAGUUGUUUAUUCCCACUCCGUCUGGUUACUGCCCUUGAGCGCCGCGCCUAGAACUCUGUGUCUUUUCUGCCUCUGCCUCCCCGAUGGGAAGCCGCCAGCGCGGAGGGCAGCAGUCUCCGCCUUAGCACCGGGCGGUGGAGGCUCCGCGAACGUCCGUUAAUGGGGAGCAGAAAUGGCCUUGAGUUUCUGUGGCUCCGAUUGGCGAGAAUGCAGCUUGCCCAGGCCAGACGGGAAAAUCUCUCAGAGCGGAGGGAGGGCUGGGGGAGCCCGCGAGGUGGGCGAACACGGCUGAGAUGCGAUGAGCCGUCCCCCUCACCUAACCCGCCUCUGCCCUCCUCUUCCCGUGGCCUGGGCUCUUUCUUGAGACGCGUGUGCUCCCUGUGCUGGACUCCUCUCCCCUCCUUACACCACCGCCAGGGGCUCAUUCCGGGCUUCCGUCCUUGCAUUGCGAAGCUGGGUGUGAGUCUCGGAACGGGUGAUAUGUGAACAAAUGGAAAUACUCUUCCAACAUGAGUAAGAACAAGUCACUGGCCAGCAGUAAUUCACUGUCAUAUUGGCCAGCUUUUCAGUUGCUGGGACAAAAUACCCACCGUACGAAGUUUAAUGGAGAAACGGCUUAGGGUGGCUCUCAGUUUCAGAGGUUUCAGUCCGUGGUUGGCUGGCCCCAAGGCAGAAACAUCAUGGCAGAAGGGCGUGGCAGAGGAAAGCUGCUUACCUCUCCGCAGACAGGAAGAAGAGAAUAAGGAGAAGAGCGUUGGAAGAUGGGGGUGGGGACAGGAUAGACUCUUCCAGCUUAUGGCCCUGGGGACCUACUUCCUCCAACCAGGCCCCACCUCCUAACAGCACAUUCAGCAAUGGAACCCAGUGACCUCAUCACCUUCCCAAAGGCUACUUCUGAGUGCGUCAGCCUUGGGGGGCAUUUUUGAUCCAAACCAUGACAACAGUCUCUUGCACACAUCAACCCCAUGAAGUAUGUGAUAUGAUUGUCAUCAUUUUUCAGGUGAAGAAAUUUGAAACUCAGAUUCAUCAGCCAAAAUCACCCAGAUAAUGGUAUCAGAGCUAGGAUCAGAAUGGCACUCCUAGGGCCUGCCUUUCAGCUUCCUCAAACAUGGGCUGACCUCUGUGAGGCUGAGCAGAGGACAGGAGCUCUCGCCUCACAUCCAUGGCCACCUGUCCCUUUAUCUGCCAGCAUGGACCACCAUCUCCCCUCUAAGCUGCAGUGGCCCCAAACUUCACCUGUCACCUCCAGAACUCUUGUUUACAUAGCAACAGCAACAGACCUACAUGCAGGUUGAGCCCCAGUAAGUCUAUUUUGCAAUCUGUAAUGGAUUGUGACCCUCAGUUUGAAAAAAUACUGCUCCAAGGUGAGCUCCCCCCUGCUUCCUGCAGCUUUCAAGAUGUUCACAGACACAGCCGAGGGAGGACCCUGUGAAGAUAACUGGAAGAGUUAUCUUCCGAAAGCCCAGCACAGGGCCUCAGGGGAAAAGUCCUGUGGACACCUUGAUCUUGGGCUUUUUGCCUCCAGAAUUAGGAGAAAAUAAAUUUCUGUUCUUUA
ensembl:lncRNA